rnacentral:ncRNA from 2 species
CGUUUCCUUCGGGGCAGGGUGAAAUUCCCUACCGGCGGUGAUGUUUCGGCUGGUUUGUUAUCGGCCGAGCUCAGUCCGUGACCCGUGCAGCCAGCUUCUGGUUGCCGGUGGACUCGGUGUAACUCCGAGACCGACAGUAUAGUCUGGAUGGGAGAAGGGAAAG